UCCAGCAAUGCCGCGUGUGUGAAGAAGGCCUCCGGGUUGUAAAGCACUUUUGUCCGGAAAGAAAUCCUUGGCUCUAAUACAGUCGGGGGAUGACGGUACCGGAAGAAUAAGCACCGGCUAACUACGUGCCAGCAGCCGCGGUAAUACGUAGGGUGCGAGCGUUAAUCGGAAUUACUGGGCGUAAAGCGUGCGCAGGCGGUUUGCUAAGACCGAUGUGAAAUCCCCGGGCUCAACCUGGGAACUGCAUUGGUGACUGGCAGGCUAGAGUAUGGCAGAGGGGGGUAGAAUUCCACGUGUAGCAGUGAAAUGCGUAGAGAUGUGGAGGAAUACCGAUGGCGAAGGCAGCCCCCUGGGCCAAUACUGACGCUCAUGCACGAAAGCGUGGGGAGCAAACAGGAUUAGAUACCCUGGUAGUCCACGCCCUAAACGAUGUCAACUAGUUGUUGGGGAUUCAUUUCCUUAGUAACGUAGCUAACGCGUGAAGUUGACCGCCUGGGGAGUACGGUCGCAAGAUUAAAACUCAAAGGAAUUGACGGGGACCCGCACAAGCGGUGGAUGAUGUGGAUUAAUUCGAUGCAACGCGAAAAACCUUACCUACCCUUGACAUGGUCGGAAUCCUGCUGAGAGGU
rnacentral:rRNA from 1 species